rnacentral:rRNA from 1 species
GACGUAGGGCGCGAGCGUUGUCCGGAUUUAUUGGGCGUAAAGAGCUCGUAGGCGGCUUGUUACGUCGACUGUGAAAACCCGCGGCUCAACUGCGGGCCUGCAGUCGAUACGGGCAGGCUAGAGUUCGGUAGGGGAGACUGGAAUUCCUGGUGUAGCGGUGAAAUGACGCAGAUAUCAGGAGGAACACCGGUGGCGAAGGCGGGUCUCUGGGCCGAUACUGACGCUGAGGAGCGAAAGCGUGGGGAGCGAACAGG